AUUGAACGCUGGCGGCAGGCCUAACACAUGCAAGUCGAACAGUAACAGGAAGAAGCUUGCUUCUUUGCUGACGAGUGGCGGACGGGUGAGUAAUGUCUGGGAAACUGCCUGAUGGAGGGGGAUAACUACUGGAAACGGCAGCUAAUACCGCAUAACGUCGCAAGACCAAAGAGGGGGACCUUCGGGCCUCUUGCCAUCGGAUGUGCCCAGAUGGGAUUAGCUAGUAGGUGGGGUAACGGCUCACCUAGGCGACGAUCCCUAGCUGGUCUGAGAGGAUGACCAGCCACACUGGAACUGAGACACGGUCCAGACUCCUACGGGAGGCAGCAGUGGGGAAUAUUGCACAAUGGGCGCAAGCCUGAUGCAGCCAUGCCGCGUGUAUGAAGAAGGCCUUCGGGUUGUAAAGUACUUUCAGCGGGGAGGAAGGGAGUAAAGUUAAUACCUUUGCUCAUUGACGUUACCCGCAGAAGAAGCACCGGCUAACUCCGUG
rnacentral:rRNA from 1 species